UUGUCUCAAAGAUUAAGCCAUGCAUGUCUCAGUACAAGCCGCACUAAGGUGAAACCGCGAAAGGCUCAUUAAAUCAGUUAUGGUUCCUUAGAUCGUACCCAAUCCUACUCGGAUAACUGUGGUAAUUCUAGAGCUAAUACGUGCAAACAGAGCUCCGACCGGAGACGGAAGGAGUGCUUUUAUUAGAUCAAAACCAAUCGGCGGCGGGCGCGUUCGCGCGUCCGCUCGCCGCUCAACCUGGUGACUCUGAAUAACUUUUCGCUGAUCGCACGGCCUCGCGCCGGCGACGCAUCUUUCAAAUGUCUGCCUUAUCAACUGUCGAUGGUAGGUUCUGCGCCUACCAUGGUCGUAACGGGUAACGGGGAAUCAGGGUUCGAUUCCGGAGAGGGAGCCUGAGAAACAGGCUACCACAUCCAAGGAAGGCAGCAGGCGCGCAAAUUACCCACUCCCGGCACGGGGAGGUAGUGACGAAAAAUAACGAUACGGGACUCAUCCGAGGCCCCGUAAUCGGAAUGAGUACACUUUAAAUCCUUUAACGAGGAUCAAUUGGAGGGCAAGUCUGGUGCCAGCAGCCGCGGUAAUUCCAGUUCCAAUAGCGUA
rnacentral:rRNA from 1 species